rnacentral:rRNA from 2 species
CUUGAUCAAUUAUAAGAGGUCAAGCCUGCCCAGUGACAUUGUUCAACGGCCGCGGUAUCCUAACCGUGCGAAGGUAGCGUAAUCACUUGUCCUUUAAAUAAGGACUAGUAUGAACGGCUUCACGAAGGCUAUACUGUCUCCUUAAUCUAAUCAAUUAAACUAAUCUCCCCGUGAAGAAGCGGGGAUUCAUCUAUAAGACGAGAAGACCCUAUGGAGCUUUAAACAUCUAAGACACUUGAUUUUUACCUACUAAACUUCAUGCAACCUAUCCUUUUGUCUUAAGUUUUAGGUUGGGGUGACCACGGAGAAAAAUUAAACCUCCACGUAGAAAGAAAAUUCUUUUCUAAGCAAAAAGCCACAUCUUAACGCAUCAAUAUAUUGACUUAACUUGACCCA